GAUGAACGCUGGCGGCGUGCCUAAUACAUGCAAGUCGAGCGAACAGACGAGGAGCUUGCUCCUUCGACGUUAGCGGCGGACGGGUGAGUAACACGUAGGUAACCUACCUAUAAGACUGGGAUAACUUCGGGAAACCGGAGCUAAUACCGGAUAAUAUUUCGAACCGCAUGGUUCGAUAGUGAAAGAUGGCUUUGCUAUCACUUAUAGAUGGACCUGCGCCGUAUUAGCUAGUUGGUAAGGUAACGGCUUACCAAGGCAACGAUACGUAGCCGACCUGAGAGGGUGAUCGGCCACACUGGAACUGAGACACGGUCCAGACUCCUACGGGAGGCAGCAGUAGGGAAUCUUCCGCAAUGGGCGAAAGCCGACGGAGCAACGCCGCGUGAGUGAUGAAGGUCUUCGGAUCGUAAAACUCUGUUAUUAGGGAAGAACAAACGUGUAAGUAACUGUGCACGUCUUGACGGUACCUAAUCAGAAAGCCACGGCUAACUACGUG
rnacentral:rRNA from 1 species